rnacentral:rRNA from 1 species
UACAGAGGUCUCAAGCGUUGUUCGGAUUCAUUGGGCGUAAAGGGUGCGUAGGUGGCGCCGUAAGUCAGGUGUGAAAUCUCGGGGCUCAACCCCCGAAACUGCACUUGAUACUGCGGUGCUCGAGUACUGGAGAGGAGAUUGGAAUUUACGGUGUAGCAGUGAAAUGCGUAGAUAUCGUAAGGAAGACCAGUGGCGAAGGCGAAUCUCUGGACAGUUACUGACACUGAGGCACGAAGGCCAGGGGAGCAAACGGGG